AGGUUGGGGUUAGGUUGGGGAGCAUGAGGCGGAUAUGGGUUCUCAGGGCGUAGGACCACGCCCUGGGAAACCCCGAUGGACCUGAUAUUCUCCUAUAGUCGGGUAGCGGCUGGUCGGUGCCUUUGGUACCCGCCAGCUCGCCGAUCCGGUGCGGAGAAUUUCGAUGAAGUAGGUGGGCCCAUAUCUGCCAAGACCACUCACCUCACCUUCUCGUGGGGCUCCCCGUCACCCUGCACCGGCCUUGACCGGGGUAGAGUGCGAAAGAGUGAGUGGCACCAGGAUGGAAACUCGAGGACGACCUAGGCGAAACUUAUAAUAAAACAAAAUGGAUUGUGAAAAACUAAAGAAAAACGUUUACGGUGCAGGGGUCCAGUACCGGCGCCGUCGUGGGUAGUCAAGUGGGCCUCACUGGGUCGUCAUCUCACGACCACGGCCGUUCGAGGGUGGACCGCCAGGCUCCCGGACGUGUUUCUGCGCCUGGCGAUAAUAGCAAUGUUAGAACGGGUGGCGAAUUCAUCAACUCUGACAUAGAGGACCCAGACGGGCCCGUACCCGCAUUCGAUCUGGAAGCGACGGAGGAUGUUCAGUCUUGCCUCUGUGUUCGGUUGAUACGUUCCGUCUACCAUUUAGAUAACGGUUAUCUUUGUCAAGACUGUUUCGACAACCUAGAUCCAGACGACCAGGACCUAUGCGACGACCCGCCCACUCAUUUCCUAUGCGGAGUACCUGCAAGGACACAAAUAUCACACUGUCGUAUGUGUGAUAUAAACCUAACGGACCUACAACCCGCUAUAUCAUGCCUCCCAUGCAUGAUCGUUUACAAUAAUCUGACUGACAUCGAAAGAAUUUUUUUAGUUCAAGGAAUAGCAAUCCGCACCGUAGAACUGUAAAGCACCUGUACGCUACGCACGAAACCAAAUACUUAUGCUAUCCACCUGUAAACAAACAAUAUUUAUAACUAUACAUAUAAUUCUCACUUAUAUUUACCAAUAUAUAUAUACACGCAUGUUGUAAAGUAGGCGAUAUCUAUAACACUCAUUUCCAUUGAUAAUGCAAGUGACUCAUAAAAUAAGCCGUCAUAUUUACCAUUUCACGCACAUACACACACAUAUAUAUAUAUAUAUAUAUAUAUAUAUAUAUAUAUAUAUAUAUAUAUAUAUUCGAAGACAAGCUACAUUUGUAAUAUCUAUUCCUAUUGAUAAUAUAUACUUAUAUAUUUAUAACAAUAAAACAAAUCUCAUUUAUACUACUUACCAAUA